UGGGUUGGAACCCCUCAGAAGUCCGCAGAGACGUGGAUGUGCCCGCAAGGGAACUGAGUGUCCAGGUGCUGCAUGGCUGUCGUCAGCUCGUGUCGUGAGAUGUUGGGUUAAGUCCCGCAACGAGCGCAACCCUUGUCGUUAGUUGCUAACAGUUCGGCUGAGCACUCUAACGAGACUGCCGGUGUUAAACCGGAGGAAGGUGGGGAUGACGUCAAGUCCUCAUGGCCCUUAUGCCCAGGGCUA
rnacentral:rRNA from 1 species